rnacentral:lncRNA from 1 species
AAUUUCUGCUCAGCAGCAGUGCCACAGCCAGUUCCUGGGGAAAAUGACUUAAAUCUCUGGGGCCUUGUUACAUUCCCACAGUUAACACAUUUGAACAUUUUGCUGGAUGAGGAGAUAGAAACGUCUUGUCUGAUGAAAAGCACGUUUUGCAAGGCUUGACAAAUGCGAUGUUCACCUUGAGCCAAUGUGGAACACUGUGAAGUGUGUACAGUAUCUUCUAUCUGUGUUUCUUUGUAUGCUACAUGAACUAAAUCCCGAAUAAUCCUGUGGAACAAGGAAUGGUUUCAUCUCCCUGUCGCAGAUCCGAGGUGGAGGCACAGACAAAACAAUACUUUGCAGGGAAUUACAGUACC